GUGCACUCACACUCAACAUGAGGAGGACCAAGGGAGGGCCACCUCUAGACAGAUUUCUCCCCUUUUCUGGGUGAUUUGGGAAGAGCAUACGUCUGAAUUCCAG